rnacentral:rRNA from 1 species
UUUAAAAUUACCCCGGUUGGCGGCUUGUACGUCCAAUCGAGGACUUAAUGAACUCCGAUAGGAGUGAUCGAUGAGAAAAACUAAUUUAGAUAACAGUUUUAAUAUUAAUAUAUAUCAGUAAUGGUGUCAUAUUAAUUUAAAAUUCAGGAAAUGAUCUAAUUAUUUAACCGUACCCUAAACCGACACUGGUCUGCUGGUAGAAUAUACCAAGGCGUUGAGCGAAUCAUCUUGAAGGAACUCGGCAAAAUGACUCCGUAACUUCGGGAGAAGGAGUACGAUUUUUAUGAUCGUGGCACAGAAUAGAAGAGUACGACUGUUUACUUAAAACACCGGUCUUUGCUAAUAGGAAACUAGAUGUAUAAAGACUGAUACCUGCUCAGUGCUGGUAAGUCAAGAGAGGCACUAAUACGGUGCUGAUUGAACCUCCAGUAAACAGCGGUUGUAACUAUAACGAUCCUCAGGUAGCGAAAUACCUUGGCCACUAAUUAUGGUCGCGCAUGAAUGGUUUAACGAUACUCUUACUGUCUCCAAGAUGAGCUCAGUGAAAUUGAAUUAUCCGUGCAGAUGCGGAUUACCAUUAGCUAGACGGGAAGACCCUAUGCAGCUUUACUGUAGUUAGUCAUUGUGUGCUUAUAAUUAAGGUGUAGAAUACAAGGGAGUCGAUUAGACAUCAGUGAAAUACCUUGACUUAAUUAGGAGCACGCUAUACCAAAAUUUGGGACAGUGAUUAAUGGGCAGUUUAUCUGGGGCGGAUUUCUCCCAUAUAGUACCGGAGAAGUACAAAGGUCGGCUUAAAUUGGAUGGAAACCAAUGGGCUAAAGAUAGCCUAAUUAAGUGUAAUGGCAUAAGCCGGCUUAACUGUAAGACUGACAAGUCAUACAGAUACGUAAGUAGGUCAUAGUGAUCCGGUGGUCCAUCAUGGAAUGGCCAUCGCUCAACGAAUAAAAGCUACGCUAGGGAUAACAGGCUGAUCAAUCUCGAGAGUCCAUAUUGACAGAUUGGUUUGGCACCUCGAUGUCGACUCAUCACAUCCUGGGGGUGUAGGCGCUCCCAAGGGUUCGGCUGUUCGCCGAGUAAAGUGGUACGUGAGUUGGGUUAAGUACGUCGUGAGACAGUACGGUUCCUAUCUACUAAUGGAAUUAGAAUCGGACAAGAACAUUACUCUAGUACGAGAGGACCGAGUGAUAUGAACCUCUGGUAUACCUGUUAUUGUUUACUACCUAUUAUUAGGUCUGUUACAGUACGGCAGGAAAGCUACGUUCAGAAAGGAUAACUGCUGAUAGCGUCUUAAGCGGGAAGCCCAUCUUGACACGAUUCUUUAUUAGAGUGACUGUAGAUCACAGUCUUAAUAGGUUGCAGGUGUAAGCAUAGUAAUAUGUUAAGCUGGGCAAUACUAAAUUCUCAAGUAACUUGGUAAU